rnacentral:rRNA from 1 species
AUUGAACGCUGGCGGCAGGCCUAACACAUGCAAGUCGAGCGGAGCGGCGGACGGGUGAGAAAUGCCUAGGAAUCUGCCUGGUAGUGGGGGAUAACGUCCGGAAACGGGCGCUAAUACCGCAUACUAUCAGAUGAACCUAGGUCGGAUUAGCUAGUUGGUGGGGUAAAGGCCUACCAAGGCUACGAUCCGUAACUGGUCUGAGAGGCCGAUCAGUCACACUUGAACUGCGACCCGGUUCAGACUCCUACGGGAGGCAGCAGUGGGGAAUAUUGGACAAUUGGCGAAAGCCUUAUCCAGCCAUGCCGCGUGGGUGAAGAAGGUCUUCGGAUUGUAAAGCACUUUAUGUUGGGAGUCGUUACCAACAGAAUAAGCACCUGCUAACUUCGUGCCAGCAGCAGCGGUAAUAC